rnacentral:rRNA from 1 species
AAGCUGAGCUAAUUCCGUAUACGCCCUUCGUGGGAAAAAUUUAUCGGGUAUGGAUGAGCCCGCGUUGUAUUAGCUAGUUGGUGAGGUAAAGGCUUACCAAGGCGUCGAUCCAUAGCGGUCUGAGAGGAUGAUCAGCCACAUUGGGACUGAGACACGGCCAAACUCCUACGGGAGGCAUGAAGUGGGGAAUAUUGUCAUGGGCAGCAAGCCUGAUCCACCAUGCCCGCAGUGAGUGAUGAAGGUCUUAGGAUUGUAAAGCUCUUUCACCGGAGAACAUAAUGACGGUAUCCGGAUGAAGAAGCCCCGGAUAACUUUGUGCCAGCAGCCCGCGGUAAUACGAAAGGGGCUAGCCGUUGUUCGGAAUACUGGGCGUAAAGCGCACGUAUGCGGAUAUUUAAGUCAGGGGUGAAAUCCCAGAGCUCAACUCUGGAACUGCCUUUGAUACUGGGCAUCUUGAGUAUGGAAGAGGUAAGUGGAAUUGCAGUGUAGAGGUGAAAUUCGUAGAUAUUCGCAGGAACACCAGUGGCGAAGGCGGUUACUGGUCCAUUACUGACCUGAGGUCGAACGUGGGAAGCAAACAGGAUUAGAUACCCUGGUAGCCACGCCGUAACGAUAAAUGUAACCGUCGGCAAGUUUACUUGGCGGGGCGCAAGCUAACGCAAUUAAACAUUCCGCCUGGAGAGACGGCCGCAGAUAAUACUUCAAGGAAUUGACGGGGCCCCCCCCACGGGGAGCAUGUGGUUUAAUUCGAAGCAACGCGCAGAACCUUACCAGCCCUUGACAUGCCCGGCCAGAUGCAGAGAUGCAGUGUUCCCUUCGGGGACCGGGACACAGGGCUGCAUGGUGUCGUCACUCUGUCGUGAGAUGUUGGGUAAGUCCCGCAACGAGCGCAACCCUCGCCCUUAGUUGCCAGCAUUCAGUUGGGCACUCUAAGGGGACUGCCGGUGAUAAGCCGAGAGGAAGGUGGGAUGACGUCAGGCCUCAUGGCCCUUACUGGCUGGGCUACACACGUGCUACAAUGGGGGGGACAGUGGGCAGCGAAGGAGCGAUCCCGAGCUAAUCUCCAAAAGCCAUCUCAGUUCGGAUUGCACUCUGCAACUCGAGUGCAUGAAAUUGGAAUCGCUAGUAAUCGCGGAUCACCACGCCGCGGUGAAUACGUUCCCGGGCCUUGUACACACCGCCCGUCACACCAUGGGAGUUGGUUUUACCCGAAGGUAGUGCGCUAACCGCAAGGAGGCAGCUAACCUCGGUAGGGUCAGACGACUUGGGGUGAAUCUUACCAAGGAAGCCGGAAGGGAACCUUGGGGGGUGGAUCACCUUCUU